AAUCUGAAGCUAUCUAUCUUCCCAAAUGGAAUGUUAUGCAGACCUCUUGUCCUCCCUCCUGCUUGUUGUGGCAGAGAUUUAUACUUGUAAUCUCCCAGAACAUUUGAAUUAGAGAUGUGAGUCCCGAUGCCAACUGUCUACAGGUUGAAAUUAUAAAGAGGCUUAGGCACAUCAUGUUGAAGGGAGCAAUUUGGGAAGGAUAAAGCUGUUGAUGAAUGGCCAAAAAAGGACAAGUUAAGGGGAAAAAUUGGAACCAAAGAGCCCAGAUUGUGAGUUCCUUGAAAGAAGAAUCUGUGUCUUGUUCACCAUUGUUUUUCCUUACCUGUAACAGAAACCCUGGCACCAGGUAGGCAAGUCUUUGAUAAAUAUUUCUGGAUUGAUUAAGUUGUAUUUAUUCAUUAAAUGUAUGCAAAUUUCCUUUGUUUUUGCUACUAUCCUGGCAUUGCAUGUUACUUCCAUGAAGCUGAUCUUUGAAAGCAAAAUGUUAACAUCUUAUGGCAGGUAAUUUUUGCCUUGAUAGCCUGUGAUGAGUUACUGACUGCUUGUUAGAAAUGUCGCUGCCUUGUUCCUGUUAGGCUUACAGCUGACAUGUUGAAAAAUUUAUUCAAUGUAUAAAAAAGCUCUACAAAGAUAUUCAUUGUAUCACUGUUUAUAAUUGGGAAUUGUUUGGAUAGUCGAAUAAGCUGUGUUACAUCCAAACUAUGAAACACUAUGCAACAAUUAUGAAGAAGAAGGUAGAUCUAUGUCUUAUAAAAUAAAUUGAUAUUCUACUUAAAAAAAAAGCAAAUGGCUAAAAGAUACUUUCAGUACAAUACCAUAUCAAAAAAACUGCAGUGUAUUUUCUGUGGUUACCAUAGAG